GACGAACGCUGGCGGCGUGCUUAACACAUGCAAGUCGAACGGUGAAGCGCCUUCCUUUUUGGUGGGUGUGGAUGAGUGGCGAACGGGUGAGUAACACGUGAGUAACCUGCCCCCUUCUUCUGGAUAACCGCAUGAAAGUGUGGCUAAUACGGGAUAUUCUGGGUCUGUCGCAUGAUAGGUCUGGGAAAGAUAUUGUUUCGGCGGGGGAUGGGCUCGCGGCCUAUCAGCUUGUUGGUGGGGUGAUGGCCUACCAAGGCGGUGACGGGUAGCCGGCCUGAGAGGGUGGGCGGCCACACUGGAACUGAGACACGGGCCAGAGGCCUACGGGAGGCAGAAGGAGGGAAUCUGCCGGAAUGGGCGAAAGCCGGACGGAGCAACGCCGCGGGAGGGAGGAAGGUCUUCGGAUCGGAAAACUGUGUUAGUAGGGAAGAACAAAUGGGUAAGUAACUAUGCACGUCUUGACGGGACCUAAUCAGAAAGCCACGGCUAACUACGUG
rnacentral:rRNA from 1 species